rnacentral:antisense_RNA from 2 species
CUUCACGGAACCCAGCAGCAGCGGGGUCUCCCGGUCGCGGCCGUACGUCGCCAGCAGCGCCUGUGCCUC